rnacentral:lncRNA from 1 species
CCAAUGCUGAUAGGUAAAAUUGAGUUGGAGUUAUGCUUUUUAGUUUUCUCGUAGGAUCGCAAAACUUUAGUAUACUUUACUGAUUGUGAUAGGGACAACGUUAUAUUAUUUACAGAAAUAAAUAGAAUAUAUUCCUAUUACACCUUCCCACCCCAAGCUUCCGGCAAUUGAAAAUAGAGCCUUAAUAUCAGAGCGCGUUAAAUUUUUACGCUUAAUUUAAAUCUGUUUAUAUCUGAGCUAUAUUAAAAAGUCUUGAAUCCACACACUACAACAGAAUUAGGUUAUAGCGACACAUGUUUAGGACACUUUUGUCUAAGUGUCCCAUGUAUGUCAAAAUUUUAAAAAAAUCUACUAAUGUCUAAAUAUAAAGCCUCGUCCAACAAAAAAUAAAAGUUUACUCUACUCAACCCACCCAACCCCGCCAAUUUGGCCCAAUUACAAACAGAAAAGAAAAAAUAAAGAAAAAUCGAUUACCAUCUCCCCUUCUCCUCUCAAUCAUUCCACUGAAAUUCUAGACGAAGGGCCCUUCCCUCUCGUCCUCCUCCGCCACCGCAGCCAACAAGAUAGAGUUUCGGCGGUUGCUAGAUGCUUAAAUAAGUGUUGCUAAAUUAAUUAGCAGCACUCUUUUUAGGUUAUAGCGACACUCUUUAACUGUCACUAUAUACCUAGCGACUCCAUAUAUAGCAACACUUUUUAAAAGUGUCGGUAAUUUAGCCAACAGCACAUUUUUUGAUCUGUGCCGAUAUUUAAAAGUGUCGCUAUAGACCGUUUUUGUUGUAGUGAUACCGUGAGAGAAAACUUUAAAUAUAAUAUAUUAAAAAUACAGCUGAGCUUUUGAAUUCAGGAUUGUGAGACCUCGAAUAGUCCUAUAUAAGAUAUAAUAUGGCUAAAACUCUUAACCUAAUUUAAGCAUUUUGGACGAUAACUAGGCCCAAGAGGUUAAGAGAGUUAAACGUGUUAGGACGGGAAUAGUCUUAGGAUGUGUGACCCCUUGAAAAGUCGAAGCAUCACAGUUGAUAUUAAAGUCAAUUACCAGCCAGAAGUGUGAGAUGAGUCUCACCUGAGUCAGGAUUAUACAGCGGGGAGAGCGAGGCUCUCAUGCUGUUGAUUGAAGUGGGUAGAGCGUAGCUCACCACAAGGUCGGUUUUGGCCAGCGAGAUAAGUCUCACAUUGCUUGAUACUUGUAAGUUUGAGCCUGAAGAGGACGUCAGGGUUUAAGGAGGGGAGAAUGUGAGACACCGAAUAGUCCUAUAUAAGAUAUAAUAAGGCUAAAACUCUUAACCCGGCUUAAACAUUUUUUGCGGUGACUAGGUGCAAGAGGUUAAGAGAGUUAAACAUGUUAGGACGGGAGUAGUCCUAAGAUGGGUGACCCCCUGGAAAGUU